ACACGUUCAUAUUCCAAACGGAAACAUCUUUUUUUGAAAAUGUCGUUUAUUGUAAUUUUUACACCAUGUAACAUUGCAUAUCUAGCAAUGAAAGUAAGCAUUCAUUUAACAUGUAAAGUUCAAUCAGAAAAUGAAAACAGUUUAACGAUACAUAUAAUUUACGAAUGUUUCUUUAUCGUGUUUCUAAUAUUUCAAAUGAUUUUUUUGUGUAUGUCUUCAGGGAAAAAUUUGUACCGAUCUUGUCUUACGCAUUAUGCUGCUACAAUAGUUAUAGCAUCAAAUGUAGCAAUUGCUUUCUAUAAUUCUGUUAAAAACCACUUUGAAGAAGUUUUACACCAUAAUGACAAACUCGAAUGUUCAAACCAAACAACUGCAUCAUUAGUAUACGAAUCUACAAAAUUGUACCUAGAACCUACAGUGAUUGAAAACUCUCUUCUAUGCAUACUUGUACUCAAAGAAAUAUUUACCCGAAGCCAGGAUAAUGAAGCAGACAAUGAAAUAACAGCACCCACUUAUUACAUUAAGCAUAAAAUAUUGUGUAUAUUUUUAUUAUCUAUAGCUUUUAUUUUUCCAUAUUUUUUACUCAAAAUAUUGCUUUUUAAAAAUAGAAAUAUCAGUAACAAUUUCUACCUUUUUCAAGCAUGCGCAUAUGCAAUCGUCAAGUUAGUUAUGUAUUUAGUGUUGAUUAAAUGUUUUCACCUUCUUGCUGUGAAAGGUACUUAUUACUCAAAAUCAACUGAAACACCUCUUAAAUUAAGUCAUUACUUGAUUUUAUUCAGUGCUUUUGGAUCAGAAAUAUUUUUUGGAAUCAAUUUUGUAGCAGCAGUCAGUGUAACGGGAAAAGAAAGUUUUGCAGUAAACAAUAUUUUACAGUUCAUAACUACCUAUGUACAGACUGUUUUAAUCCUGCAGAUGAAAGAUUAUAAGACAAUAGAUGACCGUCAAAAUGCAAUUUCGAUAUCAGGAACUUUUUUAUUCCUGUCCUUUGUUAAUUUUGGUCUCUGGUUGUACGACACGUUCCUUGCAACUGUAAAUUUUGAUAAACAUUAUUAUACAGCCCAAUAUUAUGGAUUCACAACAACGAUGACACUAAGACAUUUGUUUGUUCCUAUUUUGAUAUUCUAUCGUUUUAAAUGUUUCAUUUCUUUCUUUGAACUAUCUGCCUUUACACCGUCAUUCGUAGAACGGUUUCUUUUUUUUCUGGACAAAGUUAGCUGGAGAAUGAGUUUUCGAAGACGUCAAAAUUAUGAGCAAAUAUAACAAUUGCUAUUUGGUCAUACAUGUAUAGCUCGUAAACUGCUUUUGGUUAUAUAUUGGUCAAGUAUUGUUUCAACUGUAUCCGACAAUGAAUUCAUUGAAAGGUCAUAUCUAUAAAUUAGCUGUUUACUCAGUUUAAGCCUGUAACCCGGAUUUGUUUUUUUCUCAAUCGAUUUGUGAAUUUUGAACAGCAGUAUACUACUGUGACCUUUAUUUACAUGGCUUUGAAUUUAUUAAAUACUUAGGCUUUCAUACCUCAAGAACAGAUUAUAGCCCUUGGAUAGUGUAAAAUUCCCCACCCUCCCCGCAAAAUAAAACCAAACUUGUGUAUGGUGUAAAGGCGUAUGACAUAUGGUGCAUUGGUAGAAGGUGUAUGGUGAUAUGGUGUAAGGAGGAUGGUGUAAUGGUGUGUGAAGAAUGGUGCGAUUGUGUAACUUGUAUAUAAAGUGUGAUUAUCAAAGUGUAGAACUAUGCAAAUCAUUGAAUAGAACUGAUUUUUAAUUUUGUACAUUAAUUUACAUUAUUGUGAUCAAAAUUCGUUUUUUUUUUAAAUAAAUAAAUAAAUAUGUAGUCACACGAUUUCUUUGAAACAAAAUUGCAUUAUGGGUUAUUUCGGAUGUGUAGAUAGAAUGUGUACAUUUGUAAGGUGUAUGGUCCUAAGGUGUUAAAUUUAUGUUGUUAUGGUACAGGGUGUAUAGUGUAAUGGUGUGUGCUCAAAUAUAAAUUUCAAUCCUAGUAUAUAUGAUGAAUUUAUUUUCAUAGUUUCCAUUCGGUAUUGAAAAUAAAAAAAAAUCUCUCUGUUCC
rnacentral:lncRNA from 1 species